CACACGAAGAAGCAGGUCGUUCCUGCUGGGUCCCACAAGGAGGAGGCGGCAAGAGCUCAGGCAAGUCAGACGCUUCUUAUCCAGGAUCCUCAACACCCUGAAGGCAUCAACAGGUGCCUUUGUGGGGCACAAAUGCGGGGGCAGAAUGCUAGUUGGGCUUUGGAAUCAGAACAGGUCUGAAUCCUGGUUCUACUAAUCACCUAAAUAUGCAACCCUGGGCAAGUUAUUUCACUUUUUGAGCUUUAGUUUUAUCUAUUAAAUAUACUGCCACAUCC